rnacentral:rRNA from 1 species
AAGAAAAGCAAAAUAAGGGUAUACAGGGAAUGCCUAGGCUUUUGGAGGCUACGAAGGACGCGACAAGCGGCGAAAUGCUUCGGGGAGGUGCACAUGACCUUUGAUCCGGAGGUAUCCGAAUGAGACAACUCAGCAUGUUGAAGACAUGCUUAUAUAGCCAACCCGGGGAACUGAAACAUCUAAGUACCCGGAGGAAAAGAAAACAAUAGUGAUUCCGCAAGUAGUGGCGAGCGAACGCGGAAGAGUCCAAACCAGUUGAGUUCCGGCUUGACUGGGGUUGUAGGACCUCGAUAAUUGAUUUAAACAGAACUGGAACAUGCUGGAAAGUAUGGCCGCAGAGGGUGAAAGUCCCGUACAGGUAAUGUUUAAUGAGAGCGAGAGUUCCUGAGUAAGUGGGGGCCGGUGAAACCCCCAUUGAAUCCGGCGGCACCAUCCGCCAAGACUAAAUACUCCCAAAAGACCGAUAGUGAACAAGUACCGUGAGGGAAAGGUGAAAAGUACCGUGAAUAACGGGGUGCAAUAGAUCCUGAAACUGUAUACCUACAAGCGGACGGAGCUCAUUCGUUGAGUGACGUCGUGCCUUUUGCAUAAUGAGCCUACGAGUUACCUAUAUUAGCAAGGUUAAGGAUUUAAGGUCUGCAGCCGUAGCGAAAGCGAGUCUUAAAGUGGGCGCAUUAGUUAGUGUAGGUAGACGCGAAACCAGGUGAUCUACCCCAUGGGCAGGUUGAAGUUGUGGUAACACACAAUGGAGGACCGAACCGGUUGACGUUGAAAAGUCUUCGGAUGACCUGUGGGUAGGGGUGAAAGGCCAAUCAAACCUGGAAAUAGCUCGUACUCCCCGAAAUGCCUUUAGGGGCAGCGUCGGAUGAGUUUGAUGGAGGUAGAGCUACCAAUUAGAUGCGGGGGAGUCAUAUCCUACCAAAUCUAGAUGAACUCCGAAUGCCAUCAAACACUACCGGCAGUGAGGGCUAGGGUGCCAAGGUCCUAGUCCGAGAGGGAAAGAACCCGGACCAUCGUCUAAGGUCCCGAAGUGAUAGUUAAGUUGAACUAAGGAGGUCCAGUCGCUGAGACAGCCAGGAUGUUAGCUUGGAAGCAGCUAUUCAUUCAAAGAGUGCGUAACAGCUCACUGGUCGAGCGACAGGGCAUCGAUAAUGAUCGGGCAUUAAACUAUCCACCGAAGACAUGGAUUUGUGAUUUAUCACGAGUGGUAGGGGAGCAUUCUGACGGGGUUGAAGCUGCAUGGUGAUGUGCAGUGGACCGGUUAGAAAAGCAAAUGUAGGCAUAAGUAACGAUAAGGCAGGUGAGAAACCUGCCCGCCGAUAGACCAAGGUUUCCUGGGCGACGCUAAUCGUCCCAGGGUUAGCCGGGACCUAAGGGGAUUGCCGAAUGGCAUACUCGAUGGAUAUCAGGUCAAAAUUCCUGAGCAUCCUAUAUCAUCGACGGAGUGACGGAGUGAUGAAGUAUCUGCGUACUGACGGAUUAGUACGUUGAAUUGCGUACCUAUAGGUUGUGUAGUUAAAUGCGCACGACUUGGGGAAACAAGACAGUACAGAGCGGCCACGGCCAAUCUGAUAACGAUAUGAAACGCUUCCAAGAAAACCUUCUAAGAUUAUGUUAUAGGAUCCCGUACCCCAAACCGACACAGGUGGUCAGGGUGAGUAACCCGAGGCGCUCGAGUGAUUCAUGGCUAAGGAACUAGGCAAAUUAGCCCCGUAACUUCGGGAGAAGGGGCGCCUACUUACUUUGUAAGAGGCCGCAGCGAAGAAGUCCAGGCGACUGUUUAACAAAAACACAUGGCUAUGCGAACUCGAAAGAUUCAGUAUAUAGCCUGACACCUGCCCGGUGCUGGAAGGUUAAGAGGGGGAGUUAGUGGUAACACGAAGCUCUGAAUUGAAGCCCCAGUAAACGGCGGCCGUAACUAUAACGGUCCUAAGGUAGCGAAAUUCCUUGUCGGGUAAGUUCCGACCUGCACGAAUGGUGCAACGAUCUGGACGCUGUCUCGGCCAUGAGCUCGGUGAAAUUGAAGUAGCGGUGAAGAUGCCGCUUACCCGCAACGGGACGAAAAGACCCCAUGAACCUUUACUGCAACUUAACGUUGGCCGUUGGCCAGGAGUGUGUAGGAUAGGCGGGAGACUGUGAAGGAGCGUCGCCAGGCGUUUUGGAGUCAUUGUUGAAAUACCGCCCUCUCCUGUUCGACGGUCUAACGGGUUUUGAACCCGGACAUUGUUUGGUGGGUAGUUUGACUGGGGUGGUCGCCUCCAAAAGAGUAACGGAGGCUUUCCAAGGUUCCCUCACGACGGUCGGCAAUCGUCGGAAGAGCGCAAUGGCAUAAGGGAGCCUGACUGCGAGAGAGACAUCUCGACCAGGCACGAAAGUGGGACAUAGUGAUCCGGUGGUACCGCAUGGAAGGGCCAUCGCUCAAAGGAUAAAAGGUACUCUGGGGAUAACAGGCUGAUCUCCCCCAAGAGCUCAUAUCGACGGGGAGGUUUGGCACCUCGAUGUCGGCUCGUCACGUCCUGGGGCUGGAGAAGGUCCCAAGGGUUGGGCUGUUCGCCCAUUAAAGUGGCACGCGAGCUGGGUUCAGAACGUCGUGAGACAGUUCGGUCUCUAUCUGUUGCGGGCGUUGGAAAUUUGAGAGGCUCUGACUUUAGUACGAGAGGACCGAGUUGGACACACCUCUGGCGUACCGGUUGUUCCGCCAGGAGCAUCGCCGGGUACCUAUGUGUGGAGCGGAUAAGCGCUGAAAGCAUCUAAGCGCGAAACCCACCUCGAGAUGAGAUUUCCUUAUGAGGGUUGUUAUAGAUGAUGACGUUGAUAGGCUUCAAGUGUAAGUUCAGAGAUGGAUUAAGCUGAGAAGUACUAAUCGCCCGAAAGCUUUUCUUC